AGUGAAUAGAUACCCCGGUAGUCCACGCUGUAAACGAUGCGAACUAGGUGUUGGUAGUAUUAAACCUAUCAGUGCCGAAAGCUAAACGCGAUAAGUUCGCCGCCUGGGGACUACGGCCGCAAGGCUAAAACUCAAAGGAAUUGACGGGGGCCCGGCACAAGCAGCGGAGCGUGUGGUUUAAAUUCGAUGCAACACGAAGAACCUUACCUGGGCUUGACAUGGUCGUAGUAGUGAAGCGAAAGCGGAACGAGCCUUCGGGCAGCGAUCACAGGUGCUGCAUGGCUGUCGUCAGCUCGUGUCGUGAGAUGUUGGG
rnacentral:rRNA from 1 species